rnacentral:lncRNA from 1 species
ACGGACAGUAACAAGUCCCUUGUAAUUUGAGUGAAGCAAAAAGACAUUUAUACUAUUCCUGAACAUCCAUCUAACACAACGACACAAAGAAAUCUUCAGACUUGAUUGUUCAGUCACUCUUUCUUAUAUGUUGUUUGAACGGCAGAUUAGAAGGGGCCAGUUAAAACGUGACUUGGUCUCUGGAUCCCAAACCUGCCAUGCGAGUGUGUAAGCUUGUUAACUAUGAGCUGCUUUUUGGAAUGAUUGCAUUUUCUCCCAUACCAAUCAAUUGCUAACGUUUGAGUGUCUCUGUUUAUUACUCCUUUGGUCCACCAUAUUUUUUUCUAAAUUAAUGGGAAUUAUAAUGCUCAACGAUCAACAUUAUAUACAAAAAUAUCUUUUGUACUUCCAUCAUUUCUAAAUAUAAGUCUUUUUAAAGAUUUCAUCAAUGGACAACAUACGAAACAGUUGAGUAAAUUUACACUUUAAUGUAUGUAUAUAUUCAUCCGUAUGUAGUCCUCUAAUAAAAUCUGUUUAAAAACUAUUAUUUAAAAAACAAAGGGAGUAGAUCGUGAGGCGACACAAGCAUACCCGCUUGCAAGGAGGCCUUUUUCUUAGAAGUUCCUCAAUUCAUGGCUGAAUUAGACCUUCACAAACCGGAUUUUUCUCAUCUCCAUCUCCUUGGUUGACAAAUUAUAUGGCCCACGAUUUGGUUUGGAAAUUGCUUUGAUCUCCUCAUUACAACAUAUAGACACAGAAAACUCACUACAACAUAUUGCAUUUACCCCAAGAGUCGACAACUGAUGAAAUAAACAAAAGACAUUGUUGGGUAAGCUAUCCAACAACACUUAGUUGUCCAUGAUGCAUCAUUGGCAAUACUUUGUUGGGCAUAGGCACAUAGGUCCAACAACCUUGCUCGGAUUGCGAACCAAUUUGUGGUUGAAUGUUCACAGAUACUGUGGUAUCCCCGUCCCAUCAAGGUUCUAAUCCUCGUGCUCGCAUUUAUUCAUGGAUUUAUUUCACGAUUUCCGGCAAUGCACAUUCAGUGGGAGGAGACGUUCAUGUCAAUGACGAGGUGCCUAUGGUGACUUCUUAAAUUUUAAGAUGAUAUGUCGUCUCAAUCUCUCAGAGGUGCUUAUAGGGGUAGGAUGUGCAUGUUUCCAUUCAUAGGGGUGAGUGUAUGCGCGUGUGUAUGAGCGAUUGUGUCAACCAUGUUAAAAAAACGUUGCUGACGUUUUUUUUACCUGCGAUGGCCACUAUGGGCAAUCUAGCGAGUACUCGACCACCAGCACCCAUGUUAAGUUUAUCAUGUUGGGGAAUGUUGCAUGGGAAAUGAAAACUUUCCUACGAACACCCAAGAUCUAUCUAUGUAGAUAAAUAGCUACAAGAGGGGGUGUGAUACGUCUCAAACAUGGUUUCAUGCUGUUAUCUUGUCAACUUUGGAUGUUUUAUAUACCUUUUAUAUCUUUUUUGGGACUAACUUAUUAAU